UGGGGAAUUUUGCACAAUGGGGGAAACCCUGAUGCAGCGACGCCGCGUGAUUUAGAAGGCCUUCGGGUUGUAAAAAUCUUUUCUAUGGGAAGAAAAUGACAGUACCAUAGGAAUAAGGACCGGCUAAUUACGUGCCAGCAGCCGCGGUAAUACGUAAGGUCCGAGCGUUGUCCGGAAUCAUUGGGCGUAAAGGGUACGUAGGCGGGUAAGCAAGUUAGAAGUGAAAUCCUAUAGCUCAACUAUAGUAAGCUUUUAAAACUGCUCAUCUUGAGGUAUGGAAGGGAAAGUGGAAUUCCUAGUGUAGCGGUGAGAUGCGCAGAUAUUAGGAGGAAUACCGGUGGCGAAGGCGACUUUCUGGCCAUAACCUGACGCUGAGGUACGAAAGCGUGGGUAGCAAACAGG
rnacentral:rRNA from 1 species